rnacentral:piRNA from 1 species
UCCAAACUGUGUGCCUGCCCUGCCGGAGA